UGAUGCUGAGAUAUCGGCAAAUAUCUGUGGUCGCCUUCGCUCGUAUCACUGCCCCCACCCCCUUAUAUGACUAAUUGACUCCACAAAUUACAAUCAAUCAUGGAACCACAUCCAUUUGCUUCCAUUUAAACCCUAGUUGUCGUCACCAAACCACCCCUCUCCAUAUUCUAUCUUCCUAUAGGCGGUCAUCACCAUUGCUUGAGACAGUUUAUGCUUAUAUGAAUAAACUUGAGGGGGGUUUGUUGCUAAUCGAUUCCCCAAAAUUCAUCACUGCUUCAUCUAUAUCGCUCUAAAUGCUAAAUCACAUACCCUCUCUCUCUCUCUCUCUCUCUCUCUCUCGAUAACGCGCUAAUCGACUUUCCCACUAAGUAAACACCGCCAUUAAACCACAACUGAUGCUUCUAUUUAGGUUUGGGGUUUUUUUGAAAGUUAGAUUUAAUUUUGGUUUCGUCUUUUAAAUCAGGGUUUAUAAGGUAAACCAUUCAUCCUUCUUAUUUGAGGUAAACUACUCCUGUCUAAUUUGUUUCUUUUUGUUGUGUUUUAGAUGAUUAUGGUUGGGAUUCAUCCUAUAACUCACAAGUAUGUUUUUGGCCAUAAGUCUAUAACUUUAUUUUAGAAACGAAAGAACAGGGGAAGUAUGGUGUUGAAAAAUGUAUAUUUUAAUGCUAUUGUACAGACCCCAACACCACUUUCAAUCACCACCACAUAAUAUUAAAACUAUUAUUGACCAUUUACAAACAUUUUUUUGGUAAUUAGAUUGUUUUUGCCUUGAUGGUUUUGGUGUGCUUAAUGUCUAUUGGAUUUAUUUGCUUAGUGGUGGGGAAGAAAUAGCAGCAUACUUGUAUUUUAGUGUACCUUACAAUACUAUGGUGAUAUUAAAAUCAUCAAACAUGCCAUGAGUGCCACCACUUAUAUCAAUUUUGUCCCCUUUUAUACACAAGUUAGCAAAGAAUAAAAGUAUUUGGGUUGAUCACUUACAUAUUGGUGAUUUCUAUUAUGGAUUUGGUAGGUGUUUUCUUUUAGCUCUUACGCUUUGCUUUAAAAUGACAUCAUUCAUGCUUAUGUUUUUACAGGACCAUUGUAUUUGGUGCUUUUACUUUGGAGUUAAGAAAUCAUGAAAACUUUUCCUACUAUAUAGAGAGGUACAAGUAUGUUGAUGAGGGUGAUGAGACUAUUGAAAUUGGACAAAUAAUACACAUUUCAAAGCUAACUCCAGCCUUAAAGGGCUAAUUGUUAACCAGUGAGAUGGACCUUUGGUUACAAAGUCACCCUUCUUUCUUUGUAGCUUUAUUACAAGAAAGUUUCGAACAUUCACAUCAUAUAGCUGAUUAAAACUACUUGGAGGAUACAAGCUAAAGAGAUCAUAUUUUUAUUUAGAUACCUCAUCAUUUCUGAUGGUUUAAAGAACUUUUGAACUACAUGAAAUUUUACGGUAUCUUUUGUCAAAAUGUAAGCUCUUAUUUUCAUUUUUAUAGACAUGACGUGCAUGUUUGUAUUUCCACUUUUGGGAUCUUCAGGUAUGAAUCUUCAUGUUAUUGAUCUUUGUGAAUUACCAUAUAUAUGCUUGGAUUAA